rnacentral:rRNA from 1 species
GACGAACGCUGGCGGCGUGCUUAAUACAUGCAAGUCAACUUGACUUUAGAUAGCAAUAUCGAAAAGUAGGGUGGCGCACGGGUGCGUAACGCGUAGGUAAUCUGCCCUGAGGUCUGACAUAACCCGUCGAAAGGCGGGCUAACAUCAGAUGAUAUAUAAUCACGACAUCGUGGAAAUAUCAAAUCUUCGGAGCCUUGGGAUGAGCCUGCGUCUGAUUAGGUAGUUGGCGGAGUAAUAGCCCACCAAGCCUACGAUCAGUAGCUGGUCUGAGAGGAUGAUCAGCCACACUGGAACUGAGACACGGUCCAGACUCCUACGGGAGGCAGCAAGUAAGGAAUAUUGCUCAA